AGAGUUUGAUUAUGGCUCAGGAUGAACGCUAGCGGCAGGCCUAAUACAUGCAAGUCGAACGGGAUUGCCUCCUUCGGGAGGCAUGAGAGUGGCGCACGGGUGCGCAACGCGUAUGCAACCAACCCCCGACAGGCGGAUAGCCGGUGGAAACGCCGGAUAAUACGCCAUGGUUCCGGGAGAGGGCAUCCUCUCCUGGAUAAAGCCGAGAGGCGGUCGGGGACGGGCAUGCGUCCCAUUAGAUGGUAGGCGGGGUGACGGCCCACCUAGUCCACGAUGGUAGGGGAUCUGAGAGGACGGUCCCCCACACUGGUACUGAGACACGGACCAGACUCCUGCGGGAGGCAGCAGUAAGGGAUAUUGGUCAAUGGGCGGAAGCCUGAACCAGCCAAUGCCGCGUGAGGGAAUGAGGCCCUACGGGUCGUGAACCUCUUUUAUUCGGGGACAAGGACGCGGUCGGGAACCGUGUUUGAGGGUACCGAAGGAAUAAGCGUCGGCUAACUCCGUGCCAGCCGCAGC
rnacentral:rRNA from 1 species